rnacentral:lncRNA from 1 species
UUUUUCUUGCAGAUCUGUCCUCUUCUUUCGCCGGCUGCGGUGGCCAACUGCGGGCUGUUCUGGAGGAAUCUCCGGUGUCGAUGGCGAGGAAGAGAUCGGGGAGGUAGGGAGGCGGCUGAUCUAUCGGUGCUGCUUCGCCGUUGCUGGUGACCGUCUGCUAAGGGAGAAGAAGACGUUGUUGAUGGCGCUGCUAUUCGGGCGCCCGCUGGGAGAGGAAACCGAAGGGAGGAGCAGCGGCUUGUGUUGAUGGAGACGAACUGCCGCUGAGAGGGAAGAGCUGGAAACGGUGGAGGAGAAAUGGAGAGUUGCGGUGGCUUGGGGGGGGUGAAGAAGAUGGUGGAACCGGCUGUGUUUGGGUCCGGUGAGGGAGAAGAAAACGAAAUCCAAGGGAAGGUUUCGGAAAGAAAAGCUGGAAAAAUGGGAGCCAAAUCUUGGCCGGCGGCUGGAGAAAUCAAAACCAGCGGGGGGAGGGG